rnacentral:lncRNA from 1 species
GCGUGUAUUUUCCCGAAAAAUGCUUAAACUAAUACUUUAUCAUUCUAUGACGUCGUGUACUCCAUCCAUAAACAAUCAUAUGACGUGGGAGUACAAUCAGAACAGCCCACCCAAUAUAUUCAUAUUUUACCACGGGUGUGUACUCAAAGCGUUUGAAGGACGUCAUGUUAGAAUAUUUUAUUUACCUAUGAUGAGGGUGGACCUUGACUACCCAUGAGGUUUUUGCACAGUCUAAGAUUUAUUCACCUAAAUAAAUUUGUAUACAGUCUUGCUUAUUUUCAGGUAGUAGGUCAAUAUAUGCAUGCAAUUAUCUGCAGUUGCAUGUUUUAUUUUUUAAAACAGAAAGGUACUAGUAGUUGACUCUGCUAGAUAUUAGACAUAUUUUUAAGCUUUGUGCCAGUAGUUUAUAAUAUGAAUGUCCGUCCAAUUAUGUAAUUGUAAAUAUAAAGAAUAAUAUUUAUUAACUUAUUUAUAUUGAUAUUUAUUACUG